rnacentral:rRNA from 1 species
AACGAACGCUGGCGGCAUGCCUAACACAUGCAAGUCGAACGAGACCUUCGGGUCUAGUGGCGCACGGGUGCGUAACGCGUGGGGACCUGCCCUUAGGUUCGGAAUAACUCCCCGAAAGGAGUGCUAAUACCGGAUAAUGUCUUCGGACCAAAGAUUUAUCGCCUUUGGAUGGGCCCGCGUUGGAUUAGCUAGUUGGUAGGGUAAAAGCCUACCAAGGCGACGAUCCAUAGCUGGUCUGAGAGGAUGAUCAGCCACACUGGGACUGAGACACGGCCCAGACUCCUACGGGAGGCAGCAGUGGGGAAUAUUGGACAAUGGGCGAAAGCCUGAUCCAGCAAUGCCGCGUGAGUGAUGAAGGCCUUAGGGUUGUAAAGCUCUUUUACCCGGGAUGAUAAUGACAGUACCGGGAGAAUAAGCUCCGGCUAACUCCGUG